rnacentral:misc_RNA from 1 species
GAUGAAGAACGUAGCGAAAUGCGAUAAGUAAUGUGAAUUGCAGAAUUCAGUGAAUCAUCGAAUCUUUGGACGCACAUUGCGCCCGCUAGUAUUCUGGCGGGCAUGCCUGUCCGAGCGUCAUUUCAACCCUCAAGCCCCCGGGCUUGGUGUUGGGGAUCGGCGAGCCUCCGCGCCCGCCGUCCCCUAAAUCUAGUGGCGGUCUCGCUGUAGCUUCCUCUGCGUAGUAGCACACCUCGCACUGGGAAACAGCGCGGCCACGCCGUUAAACCCCCAACUUCUGAACGUUUGACCUCGGAUCAGGUAGGAAUACCCGCUGAACUUAAGCAUAUCAAUAAGCGGAGGA